UAGGGAAUCUUCCACAAUGGACGCAAGUCUGAUGGAGCAACGCCGCGUGAGUGAAGAAGGUUUUCGGAUCGUAAAGCUCUGUUGUUGGUGAAGAAGGAUAGAGGCAGUAACUGGUCUUUAUUUGACGGUAAUCAACCAGAAAGUCACGGCUAACUACGUGCCAGCAGCCGCGGUAAUACGUAGGUGGCAAGCGUUGUCCGGAUUUAUUGGGCGUAAAGCGAGCGCAGGCGGAAUGAUAAGUCUGAUGUGAAAGCCCACGGCUCAACCGUGGAACUGCAUCGGAAACUGUCAUUCUUGAGUGCAGAAGAGGAGAGUGGAAUUCCAUGUGUAGCGGUGGAAUGCGUAGAUAUAUGGAAGAACACCCGUGGCGAAGGCGGCUCUCUGGUCUGCAACUGACGCUGAGGCUCGAAAGCAUGGGUAGCGAACAG
rnacentral:rRNA from 1 species